CUGAUAUUCUUUUAAUUUGUUUGCUUGUUAGUCAUGAUUUUUCAAUUUGAUGCAAUAAAUAUUUUGUCUCGGAAAUUGUACGAUUUUUUAAAAUUUUAUUCAUAUUUUUUAUUUUUCUUCAAGGUAUCUUUCACUUUGAAAUAUACUAUAGGUUAUACCUUAUAUCAGUGUUUCCCAAAGUGUGCUUACACGUACCCCCACGGGUAUGGGAAGAGUUUGGUGAGGGUACGCGCUGCACCGGGCUUUGACUGCACCUGUGCAUCAAGUAGUUUCCUUUUUUCGAUUACAAACAUAGAAAAUAAUUAAAAACUUCGUUACUUGUUAGUAUUGUGUAUGCGUGGUUUUCUAUAUAUGCGUAGCCUGGUGUCGCCGGGCGCUGUGAUUCUGUGCAUUCCUCCACCUUAAGGCCCAGACAACAGUGUCACACAAAAAGCUCCAGUACAGUGCGCGCAUAUGUAUUUUUAAA
rnacentral:lncRNA from 1 species